ACUCCUACGGGAGGCAGCAGUGGGGAAUAUUGCACAAUGGGCGCAAGCCUGAUGCAGCCAUGCCGCGUGUGUGAAGAAGGCCUUCGGGUUGUAAAGCACUUUUCAGCAGUGAGGAAGGCGGAGUCGUUAAUAGCGGCCUCGUUUGACGUUAGCUGCAGAAGAAGCACCGGCUAACUCCGUGCCAGCAGCCGCGGUAAUACGGAGGGUGCGAGCGUUAAUCGGAAUUACUGGGCGUAAAGCGCAUGCAGGUGGUUUGUUAAGUCAGAUGUGAAAGCCCGGGGCUCAACCUCGGAAUAGCAUUUGAAACUGGCAGGUUAGAGUCUUGUAGAGGGGGGUAGAAUUUCAGGUGUAGCGGUGAAAUGCGUAGAGAUCUGAAGGAAUACCAGUGGCGAAGGCGGCCCCCUGGACAAAGACUGACGCUCAGAUGCGAAAAGCGUGGGGAGCAAACAGGAUUAGAUACCCUGGUAGGAUAGCG
rnacentral:rRNA from 1 species